GACGAACGCUGGCGGCGUGCUUAACACAUGCAAGUCGAACGGAAAGGCCCUGCUUUUGUGGGGUGCUCGAGUGGCGAACGGGUGAGUAACACGUGAGUAACCUGCCCUUGACUUUGGGAUAACUUCAGGAAACUGGGGCUAAUACCGGAUAGGAGCUCCUGCUGCAUGGUGGGGGUUGGAAAGUUUCGGCGGUUGGGGAUGGACUCGCGGCUUAUCAGCUUGUUGGUGGGGUAGUGGCUUACCAAGGCUUUGACGGGUAGCCGGCCUGAGAGGGUGACCGGCCACAUUGGGACUGAGAUACGGCCCAGACUCCUACGGGAGGCAGCAGUGGGGAAUAUUGCACAAUGGGAGGAAGCCUGAUGCAGCAACGCCGCGUGCGGGAUGACGGCCUUCGGGUUGUAAACCGCUUUCGCCUGUGGCGAAGCGUGAGUGACGGUAAUGGGUAAAGAAGCACCGGCUAACUACGUG
rnacentral:rRNA from 1 species